ensembl:snRNA U4 U4 spliceosomal RNA
AGCUUUGCACAGAGACAGUAUCAUAGCCAUUGAGGUUUAUUUGAGGUAUAAUUACUGCUCAUUGGAAAUUCUUCCUGGAAAUAG